rnacentral:sRNA from 1 species
CUCUGGAAUUAUAUAAAGACAAUUUCACAAAUCUGUGAAUAUACUGUAACCACAAACUUUACACUUUAAAAUGGUAAAUUUUAUACUAUGUGGAUUUUAUCUCAAAGAUGUGGGAAAACACAAUUCUUCGACUUGGAUGAUAUAAGGGCAACUAUUCCAAAAUAAGUCUUUAUUACAGGCAUUUUCUCUCUCUCUCUCUCUCUCUCUCUCUCUCUCUCUCUCUCUCUCUCUCUCUCUCUCUCUCUCUCAAGUUAACAAGCAAAUGCUGGGAGAACUGCUCUCAGGAUGUUUUCCAAGAUGUUAGUUACCACCUGCAAGGAGCUGAUACCGUGAUUCCAGAAAAUCUAUUCAAGAAACAUGUGUAUAUUUCUUGAUUAAUGAGUAUCUGCCUACUACCUAAGAGACACAGGGAUCAGUACAAGGUAAUUUCCACUAUGAAUUUACUCAGAUUCCAUAAAAGAAGAUGCUUUAAGCAAAACAAUAAUGGGACAAUAUCAAAGCUAAAACACACAGAAAAAAAGGAAGGACACACACUUCUGAAGGCCUCCUCAACUGUUCCAUAAAUGUGAUUCACUAGGGAUAUGCAGGCUGCUAUUACACUAAGGAGAGAAGUCUUUUUGAGCAUGGUACUUUCAAAAGUCCAACUGAAAGAAUAUGUGUGUUGUAUAAAGAAAAUCUAAGUAAAGGAAUUUUGAGUAGGGAUGUAAAGGGAUGCUGGUGAACAGGAGGCACUAGGAAAGUAUGCUGAAAUCCAUCUGUACAAUUUAUUUGAAGGAAAAGUACCCAUACAUACCAGAAAACAAAAAUGAAAAGAAUUAGUAGUAGUAGUUCAGUUAGGAAAAUAACCUGAGUAAAUCAAAGGAUUUGGCCCUGAAAUAAAGUAAAAUUAAAUAGGUUUGAGAGAAAAUAACUGACAACCUAUAUAUGCAUAAACUGUGAGAGGGUAGGGAACAGCAAAAGACAUGGUACAUGUAGAAAGGUCAGAGGACAACUUUGUGGAGUUCUUUCCUUCUAUGUUUAUGUAGGGUCUUGGCAGAGUAUUCAGGUCAAGUUUUGUAUAGUGAUCACCUUUACCCACUAAGCCACCUCACCAGGCCUCAAAAUUGACAGUUUUAAAGGUAGUAACAAAAAAUGGCUAGGAGAUACAAGAUUAAGAAUUUUGUUUUUAUAGGUACUGUUUUGUACUAUACUUACUUUGAGGUACCAGGAUGAUGUACUAGAAAUGCGGGUCUGAUUUGAUAUGAGAUAUGAGACCCACAAGAUAUGAAACGAGAGAAAAAUCUUUGGGAAUUACUGAGGUUGAACAGAAAGUUCAGAGGAAUUAAUUCUAAGUAUAAUCAGCAGAAUAUCCACACAAGGAGUCUAUGAGUUGGGAUGGAAAAGUGAGCCUUUCAGGAAGCUUUACCUCAACCUAUCAAGGGUUAAAAACAAGAGUUCUUUAUUCUGGCAAAUGGAAACUAUUAGUAUCAUUCCAAGUAUAUUUUCAGUGAAAUAUCCCUGGAUUAGCAGCCUUUACAUAGUGAAAUGCAGUACAUACAUACACCCAAACCUUCUUGUAACUGUUAUUAAAGUCAAUUUUCUGAUUUGAAAGGGGAAGAGAAAAAAAAAGGCCUUUGUCUGUAUUGUGUAAAUAUUUUCCCCACCAAACACCAGGGAUUGUUUUACACUCUGACAUUGAGUAAGAGAAGAAAAGAUAAGAAAAUGGAAGUUACUAUCAUCAUCAUCAUCAUCAUCAUCAUCAUCAUCAUCAAUUAUUUAAUUCUGGGGGGCCUGGGAAGGGUAGAAAGGAUAAAAAUAAGUCUUGGGAUAAGAAGUUAAAGGAUGAACAUCAGAAAGAGUAGCCUCAGUAAAACACUUCUUUUUCUAGGUUAUAUGGAUUCUUGAGAAAAUAAUUCUUUAAGAGGUUGAUUUCAGCAUAGCCACCUUAUGGAAACAGGGAGUGAUGCUGCCCAGUGAUGCAUGUGCCACAUGUCAAUAUGAACCGGUUCUCUGAACCCUCAUUUAUAGGUUUCUUUUGAUAUAUACGUUCCUACACAGGGAUGUACUUCCAAAUAAAGGUAAGGUUAUUACAAAUGAAUUUGAUCACACAAUUAACUUAUAGACCACAAUAUGUACAGACACUCAAUUUGUUUGCUGCAGCUGCCAAGUCUCCAGAAAAAUUUUGCUCCAGACUGUGCUUUUAUGCUGUAAUUUUGAAAUGUUCUACUAUAGCAAGAGGUAUUUUUUUAACUCGGAAAUAUUGUUCCAUGACAAUCUAGAAAAGCAAUGAUGAAAAGGCAGCCAUAAUAAUGUGGCAACAUGCCAAGAAAAACUGACUAGGAAGCAAGUGAGAAUGUAUUUUUACCUCUGAAAACAUUUUAGGUUUAUUUGUUUUCACUUUCUUUUAAAUAUACUGAUGUUACUUCUGUUUGAUAAUCUAUAUUACCAUUUCAAAACUUUCACACAGAUAUAGUAUCACAACUACUUCAAUACUGUAGUGAUAAUAAACUUGAGAACUGAAGAACACAAAUCUCUUCAUGAAUUUAUUUUAUAAAAUAUACCCACUUAAUUUGUCUUCUUAUCACUUUCAUAAUACAUAAGAAGCACAGUGGACUAGAUGCCCAUUAUGAUGACUAUAGUCACAUUUAGGGGGUCCUAUAAUCAAGGUAGCAUACAUACCACAACAGUGUUCUAAAGGCUAGCUCAGAAAAAAAAGGAAAAACCUCACAUUACCUUAUCACAAUAUGGAACGCACUGUGUUCUUUUUUCCCAUUAAAGUAUUUAAGCCACUGUUUCAUUUAGCAUUACAGUAAAUAAUAGCUCUG